rnacentral:rRNA from 1 species
GACAGAGGUGCCAAGCGUUAGGCGGAAUCACUGGGCUUAAAGCGUGUGUAGGCGGACUUGUAAGUACCUUGUGAAAUCCCACGGCUCACCCGUGGAACUGCUGGGUAUACUGCGAGUCUUGAGCCACUUAGGGGCUGUCGGAACAGACGGUGGAGCGGUGAAAUGCGUAGAUAUCAGGAGGAACACCGGUGGCGAAGGCGGGUCUCUGGGCAACAACUGACGCUGAGGAGCGAAAGCGUGGGGAGCGAACAGG